rnacentral:rRNA from 1 species
AGAGUUUGUUCCUGGCUCAGGGUGAACGCUAGCGGCAGGCUUAACACAUGCAAGUCGAAGGGCAGCGGGGAGAGUGCUUGCACUCUCCGCCGGCGACUGGCGCACGGGUGAGUAACACGUAUGCAACCUGCCCUCCACAGGGGGACAACCUCCCGAAAGGGAGGCUAAUCCCGCGUAAAUCGGGAGACCGCAUGGUCUUCUGAGGAAAGCUCCGGCGGUGGAGGAUGGGCAUGCGGCGCAUUAGCUUGUCGGUGGGGUAACGGCCCACCGAGGCGACGAUGCGUAGGGGUUCUGAGAGGAAGGUCCCCCACACUGGUACUGAGACACGGACCAGACUCCUACGGGAGGCAGCAGUGAGGAAUAUUGGUCAAUGGCCGAAGGGCUGAACCAGCCAAGCCGCGUGAAGGAAUAAGGCCCUAUGGGUCGUAAACUUCUUUAGUCAGGGAACAAAGGGAGCCACGCGUGGCUCUGUGAGUGUACCUGAAGAAUAAGCAUCGGCUAACUCCGUGCCAGCAGCCGCGGUAAUACGGAGGAUGCGAGCGUUAUCCGGAUUUAUUGGGUUUAAAGGGUGCGUAGGCGGUUUGUCAAGUCAGCGGUAAAAAUUCCGGGCUCAACCCGGUCCCGCCGUUGAAACUGGCGAACUCGAGAGGGAGAGAAGUAGGCGGAAUGCGCAGUGUAGCGGUGAAAUGCAUAGAUAUUGCGCAGAACUCCGAUUGCGAAGGCAGCCUACCGGCUCCUGUCUGACGCUGAGGCACGAAAGCGUGGGUAUCGAACAGGAUUAGAUACCCUGGUAGUCCACGCAGUAAACGAUGAAUGCCGGCUGCCCGGGCCGAAUGGGGCCUGGGUGGCGAAGCGAAAGCGAUAAGCAUUCCACCUGGGGAGUACGCCGGCAACGGUGAAACUCAAAGGAAUUGACGGGGGCCCGCACAAGCGGAGGAACAUGUGGUUUAAUUCGAUGAUACGCGAGGAACCUUACCCGGGCUCAAACGGGGAGUGGCGCAGGCAGAGACGCCUGUUUCCCACGGGACACUCCCCGAGGUGCUGCAUGGUUGUCGUCAGCUCGUGCCGUGAGGUGUCGGCUUAAGUGCCAUAACGAGCGCAACCCCUAUUGUUAGUUGCUACGCAAGAGCACUCUAGCGAGACUGCCGUUGACAAAACGGAGGAAGGUGGGGACGACGUCAAAUCAUCAUGCCCCUUAUGUCCUGGGCUACACACGUAAUACAAUGGCGGUCAACAGAGGGAUGCAAAGCCGCGAGGCAGAGCGAACCCCUAAAAGCCGUCCCAGUCCGGAUCGCAGGCUGCAACCCGCCUGCGUGAAGUCGGAAUCGCUAGUAAUCGCGGAUCAGCAUGCCGCGGUGAAUACGUUCCCGGGCCUUGCACUCACCGCCCGUCAAG